GAUGAACGCUGGCGGCGUGCCUAAUACAUGCAAGUCGAGCGAACGGACGAGAAGCUUGCUUCUCUGAUGUUAGCGGCGGACGGGUGAGUAACACGUGGAUAACCUACCUAUAAGACUGGGAUAACUUCGGGAAACCGGAGCUAAUACCGGAUAAUAUUUUGAACCGCAUGGUUCAAAAGUAAAAGACGGUCUUGCUGUCACUUAUAGAUGGAUCCGCGCUGCAUUAGCUAGUUGGUAAGGUAACGGCUUACCAAGGCAACGAUGCAUAGCCGACCUGAGAGGGUGAUCGGCCACACUGGAACUGAGACACGGUCCAGACUCCUACGGGAGGCAGCAGUAGGGAAUCUUCCGCAAUGGGCGAAAGCCUGACGGAGCAACGCCGCGUGAGUGAUGAAGGUCUUCGGAUCGUAAAACUCUAUUAUUAGGGAAGAACAUAUGUGUAAGUAACUGUGCACAUCUUGACGGUACCUAAUCAGAAAGCCACGGCUAACUACGUG
rnacentral:rRNA from 1 species